UGCAGUCGAGCGCCCCCAAGGGGAGCGGCAGACGGGUGAGUAACGCGUGGGAACGUACCUUUUGCUACGGAAUAACUCAGGGAAACUUGUGCUAAUACCGUAUGUGCCCUUCGGGGGAAAGAUUUAUCGGCAAAGGAUCGGCCCGCGUUGGAUUAGCUAGUUGGUGAGGUAAAGGCUCACCAAGGCGACGAUCCAUAGCUGGUCUGAGAGGAUGAUCAGCCACACUGGGACUGAGACACGGCCCAGACUCCUACGGGAGGCAGCAGUGGGGAAUAUUGGACAAUGGGCGCAAGCCUGAUCCAGCCAUGCCGCGUGAGUGAUGAAGGCCCUAGGGUUGUAAAGCUCUUUCACCGGUGAAGAUAAUGACGGUAACCGGAGAAGAAGCCCCGGCUAACUUCGUGCCAGCA
rnacentral:rRNA from 1 species